rnacentral:rRNA from 1 species
UACGAAGGGGGCUAGCGUUGCUCGGAAUCACUGGGCGUAAAGGGUGCGUAGGCGGGUCUUUAAGUCAGGGGUGAAAUCCUGGAGCUCAACUCCAGAACUGCCUUUGAUACUGAGGAUCUUGAGUUCGGGAGAGGUGAGUGGAACUGCGAGUGUAGAGGUGAAAUGCGUAGAUAUUGGGAGGAACACCAGUGGCGAAGGCGGCU